rnacentral:rRNA from 1 species
UACGGGGGGGGCAAGCGUUGUUCGGAAUUACUGGGCGUAAAGGGCUCGUAGGCGGCCAACUAAGUCCGACGUGAAAUCCCAAGGCUUAACCUUGGAACUGCGUCGGAUACUGGAUGGCUUGAAUUCGGGAGAGGGAUGCAGAAUUCCAGGUGUAGCGGUGAAAUGCGUAGAUAUCGUAAGGAACGCCAGUGGCGAAAGCGAAUCUCUGGGCAACAACUGACGCUGAGGAGCGAAAGCGUGGGGAGCGAACGAGGA